rnacentral:lncRNA from 10 species
CAGGAAAGCAGGACGCGCGGCGCUGAGCCCCCAAAAAUAACAACCUGCCGCCGCGGUGCCUGCCCCGGCUUUUCCCGCGUUACAUUUCGCGCCUGGGCGGAACCAGUCACCGCGAGGCCGCUGCCCGCUGGCCGCACCGGCGAGUGACAGGCGGCGCGAGCCAAUGGCCAGGCCUGGCCUUCUUUCCAGCCGGCCGGGGCGGGGCCGGGUCUGCGCGCGGGUCCUUCCCACCUCGCCAUUGGCCGCCGCUCUUAUAUUUUUUUCUGUCUGGAGGGCCAACAGCGUUCGAAACUCCAGUGGAGCGCGCGGCGUCUCCACUCGCCCGGACACACCCGCCUGCCGCCCCGCCCCGCCGUCCCUCCGCGUGCUGUUGCACGCUCUGUGAACCAGCCCUGUCAGCACCGCCCUGACUCCUCCGGGCCGAUUGUGGGCCUCCGGUUCCCCAUCUGUGGAAAGGGGAGAGUCCAGGAAGUGGCCUCCGAAGUCCCUGCGGGCCGCUCGCGGCGCGGAGGCCACAAGAGCCGGGCGAGAGUAGACACUCUCACCCUGGACUGAUGCCCCGAAGUUGCCUCGGGGAUCUCCCCACCCCGGCGACCCCGCUCUACCGAGCGGCUGCUCCGGGAGUCGGGGCAGCGCCCUACUUUGCUCGGCCCCCACCUGCCCCGGCCGCGUCCUAGUACUCGCGCCGGGACGCGCGGAGCCCCAACGUCCUCUGCCCGCCCCGCCCCAGCCCCGCCUGGCUGGCGCCGACCGCGGCCCGGGUGGGGCUCGCAGGCUGCAGAGGAAGGACCGGGCGGAGGGGUUGCCCGGCUUCCUACCCGCUAGAUGUGGCCUGGGGAGCUGCGUUUUGUUCUUGGGAAUACAGAUUCCCAGGCACCGCCUGAUUCGCGGUAGGGGCUCAAUAAAUAUUUGCUGAAUGGAUGAAUGAAUAUCCAUUGGUUAAGGGUUAGGAUUGGUAAUUAAGUUAGAACACGACUGUAUAAUAACAGAUAACUAAGCUGAAUAGCUUUUCUCUCUGUGAAAGACACACAAAUGCACAGCUAUGACUAAAUUAAGCCACAAUUGUUUAAAAACAAAUAAAGGAAACUGUACUGAUAUGAACAAUUUCAAAAAUGUAUUUUUAUUUUAAAAGGCAAAACAAGCAAUAGUGUGAUUUUAUGUAAAAUUGUUAAAGUGGGGAAAAUACGUUUUUACUUUUAGACGUACAUAAAAUAUCUGGCAAGAUGCAAAAGAAACAUGGAUCAUGGAGGGAAAUUGUGUGGCUGGGAACAGAAGUGAAAAGAUUUCAAGAAAUACAAUAUAUAACUAUCUUUUGAACUUUGAACCAAGUGAAAGUAUCCUUUUAAGAAAUGAAACAGUAUAUAGCCUCCAUUUUCUGGAGGCCUACUACAAAAAUAGCAUAUAUGUACUGAUACACAAUAAUACAUAUGGAUGUUUCACAGUUCACUC